rnacentral:rRNA from 1 species
GCAUAUCAAUAAGCGGAGGAAAAGAAACCAACAGGGAUUGCCCUAGUAACGGCGAGUGAAGCGGCAACAGCUCAAAUUUGAAAUCUGGCGUCUUUGGCGUCCGAGUUGUAAUUUGCAGAGGGCGCUUUGGCAUUGGCAGCGGUCCAAGUUCCUUGGAACAGGACGUCACAGAGGGUGAGAAUCCCGUACGUGGUCGCUAGCCUUUACCGUGUAAAGCCCCUUCGACGAGUCGAGUUGUUUGGGAAUGCAGCUCUAAAUGGGAGGUAAAUUUCUUCUAAAGCUAAAUACUGGCCAGAGACCGAUAGCGCACAAGUAGAGUGAUCGAAAGAUGAAAAGCACUUUGGAAAGAGAGUUAAAAAGCACGUGAAAUUGUUGAAAGGGAAGCGCUUGCAGCCAGACUUGCCUGUAGUUGCUCAUCCGAGUUUUUACCCGGUGCACUCUUCUAUAGGCAGGCCAGCAUCAGUUUGGGCGGUUGGAUAAAGGUCUCUGUCACGUACCUCCUCUCGGGGAGAUCUUAUAGGGGAGACGAAAUGCAACCAGCCUGGACUGAGGUCCGCGC